rnacentral:piRNA from 1 species
AGGAACUGGAGAGAUGGCUCAGGGGU